rnacentral:tRNA from 1 species
CGGCCGUGAGGCGCAGGCCCGGGGCCUCGCCGUCCUCGGUGCGGCGCAGCAGCGCGCGGGCGAUCUCGCCGAUCGUCGCGAGGGCGGCGGG